UAAAAAUAAAAAUUAACCUUUUACAUAUAAAUUAGGACCCGGCAUAAAAUAUAAAAUAUUACUACAUUGUUUUAAUUUGUGAAUUCUGUAUUAAAUAAUGGAACAAUUUUCUAUCUUAUCUAAACAUUUUGUAUUCUAUACAUUUUGUUGUUGAUUUUGUUAGUGAAAAGUACGAAAAAGUGUAAAAUAAUUUUAAUAGCAUCCACGCAGAAUUAUUGCAAUAAAGUAAGUUGAUAUGUAUGUCAGUACAUUGUUAACAUGCACAUAGUGUUUAUAUUAGCCAUGCUCUUUAGCUAAUGUGUUAUAUUUCAUAUUAAAGCAUGAAAUAUCAACAUUCCUGGAUAAUAGUAACGCUAACUAGGAAUGUUGGAAAUAUUAAAAGUUAUUUAUUAAAUACAGUAGGAGUUUUUGUUAGCGUUCUGUAUACCUGAGUAUGCUUUUAAAUAAUAUAAUUAGAUAUUAAUAAAUUUAUCCGUAGUUCAUAUUUUCCAUUAUGCAAACUAUAAUGAAGGUAAAAUGAUGAUUAACACUUAUAAUCCAUGUCCAUGUAUGGCGUGUAUCAUGGUCUCACAACAGUAAAUCACCAAACUGCCAGAUUAAAAUUACUAAUCUUAACUUAUAAUUCAUCUAUAGUCAUCAAUAAUAACCCUAUAGCANAAAAAUGUCAUCUAAACGAAAAGACCUUGUAAUUAAACCGAUUAAUCAUUCAGAAAUUAAGUAUCGUUAUCAGGUAUAUCUCAUCUGGGCCUGGAUAAACAACAGAGGCAUUGUGUACUACACAUUUCUGGGCGUAUAUUAUUUAAAAAAAAAAAUCGUUGAAAGUUAAAAACAAAUCUCAUUUUAUUUAUUUCACAAGUAGAUCCUAAAAACAAAUUUCUUGAGUUAUGUAAAAUUUAUAUCUACAAAUCACCAUUUUUUUUUUCAAUUUUUUUCUGUAAGCAUUUUUAUACUUCUAAUUUUUUUUUUGCAAAUUCAUGAAAAAAGUGUUGACAACGAUUGGUAGAAGUAACGGUACAGAAAUUAGUCAUCAUUCUUUUAUUUGAAAAAAAAACUUUUUCUACAUUUAGAUUCCAAGCGUAUCGAAGUAUUUAUCGGUAUUACAGUAGUGUUUAUUUGUUAUUUUUUUCUUCUAGUCUGUGGACAUGUUUUUUUCUAAUAAACUCGUUCCGAAUUGUAUGUGUGCCAAUUCUUCUGUAAGCACAAAGGUACUUUUUAGAUUAUUAACGCCAAGUUUCAAAUAAAAACACUUAAAAAAAAAUAUAAACGUACAAUUUCUCUAUUUUAUUAUUUUAUUAAAACAAGGACGACGUUCUCUACGAAAAUAGUUCGUCCAUGUAUUAAUCGAAAAAUCACAAUAUAACUAUUUUGUGGCCUUUUCGAUUUACUUUCAGUCGGUAUCAACUUCACUCAGAAGAGUCUUUCUUCAAGCAAUGAUAUAUCUGUAAGAAAAGAUAUACCAUUCUUUGAUGAAAUGAAAUCACCCUGUGUAUUAUAUGUACCUAAAUUUUAACUUAUAACUGAGGCCACUCCCAUCUUUAGUACCACCACUAUUAUUAAGAAUAAGUGCAAAAUAUAAGAGUUUAAUUUAACUGUCUUCAAAUAAAUUACUUUGCAUGUGUUUGCAGCCACUGUUGUUGUAGGUGGAAAAUUAGGAAUGUAAAAUUCAGGCUGAAAUAUAAUGUAAAUCUGUAAAAAUCGAAAACCGUUGAUAUCGAAAAAACGAUUCUGAGAGAGGUUUACUGAAAAAUAUUGCUGUGUCAACAAUACAUAUGCCAUAUUAUAGCAAAAUAGUUGCAUAUGCAUUAAACAUUUUCCUUAAAAAUAUUUGUUCAAUUUUGUAUCUAUUCUCCCGUUAUCCUGAUUUUGACAUAUUUAAUUUUUAGGGAGGGAUUUGACUUUAAUAAAAUUUAUUUUAAUAAUAUAAUAAUAUAAUUAACAAAUAUAAUUUAUUAUUACUUAUUACAAAUAGUAAUAACAAUUACUACCUCCUAAUUAUAGUCAUAUCCAAACAUCAAAUUGUACAAGUUAUAAUCAGCAAAAAAUAGGUGCGUUAGCACUCAUAUUAUAUAAUACAUGACUGAUAUUAUACGUAAAUAUUUUUUUCAAAAAUAUUAUGUUAUUAUAUGUCUAUAUUAAUAAAGCAUAAUUUAUAAUUUUUAGUAAACAAAAAAAGUGAAAAUUUCCAUAAUUUUAGUAAUUUUCAAAUUAAAAUAAACACAAAAAAAAAUUUUUGAUCCUGUAUCGAGUAGGCAGUGAACCCAGCGGUAAUUUUAACUGCAGUAAUAUUUUCAAUUAAUUUCUCUUAGACCGUCAAGUGAAAGUGAUUACACCAUAAUAAUCUACCUUAAAGGUAGGAUUAUAGUGUUUCAAUAAUUUUAAUGAUUUCAAAAGUACAGUAUAUUAUAUUUAAAAAUUUAAUGAGUUUUAAUAUUAUUAUAAUAUAACUGAUUUUGUCUAAUUAAAAUCAACUUUUNAGUGAACGGUAAUUUUAACUGCAGCAAUUUUUUCAAUUUAUUUAUCUUAGACAGUCAAGUGAAAGUGAUUACACCGUAAUAAUCUACCUUAAAGGUAGGAUUAUAGUGUUUCAAUAAUUUUAAUGAUUUCAAAAGUACAGUACUUUAUAUUUAAAAAUUUAAUGAGUUUUAAUAUUAUUAUAAUAUAACUGAUUUUGUUUAAUUAAAAUCAACUUUUGUUGAAUAGGUAAUUUACAAAUUUGGCGAUCUAAACCUCUAGCAAGAACAUUUGGAUAGUCAGUCGACUACUGCAAUAACGUAACGUGUAGCAAUUAUUACUGUCAACUGGAAUCAUACCUAUAUACUUAAUAUCAAUUGUUAAGACCGUAACGUUUAACCGAAAUAUAUUAAAAUUAAAGCAUAAAAUUAAUUUUGUGUCUCCCAAGAAUAUCGUAUUAUUCGCGUCUCUAUUUCUGAUUUAUUGCAAAUAUGCUGUUAAAAUUUAUCGUUUCGUAUGUUAUUAUUUAUUCUUUUAUGCCGGUGUCAGUACAAGGUAUAGGCGAAGGACCGAUUUCCCCUCCACCGAAAUCUCAUCUCCCUGAUGAUCCGCAUUUCGAGGGCCCUGGCCCUCCCUCUAUUUCUAAUGCACCUUAUAAUCCAGGUACUCCUGUUCACCCUCCCCGUUAGAUUAAAGGACAUUAAAAAUCAACUUUUGU
rnacentral:lncRNA from 1 species